rnacentral:rRNA from 1 species
CUGGCUCAGGACGAACGCUGGCGGCGUGCUUAACACAUGCAAGUCGAACGGUGAUCUCGGUGCUUGCACCGGGUGAUCAGUGGCGAACGGGUGAGUAACACGUGAGUAACCUGCCCCCCGACUCUGGGAUAACCCCCGGAAAUCGGAGCUAAUACCGGAUACGAGACGCACGGGCAUCUGUAGCGUCUGGAAAGAAUUUCGGUCGGGGAUGGACUCGCGGCCUAUCAGCUUGUUGGUGGGGUAACGGCCCACCAAGGCGACGACGGGUAGCCGGCCUGAGAGGGCGACCGGCCACACUGGGACUGAGACACGGCCCAGACUCCUACGGGAGGCAGCAGUGGGGAAUAUUGCACAAUGGGCGAAAGCCUGAUGCAGCGACGCCGCGUGGGGGAUGAAGGCCUUCGGGUUGUAAACCCCUUUCAGCAGGGAAGAAGCGAAAGUGACGGUACCUGCAGAAGAAGCGCCGGCUAACUACGUGCCAGCAGCCGCGGUAAUACGUAGGGCGCAAGCGUUGUCCGGAAUUAUUGGGCGUAAAGAGCUCGUAGGCGGUCUGUCGCGUCUGCUGUGAAAACCCGAGGCUCAACCUCGGGCCUGCAGUGGGUACGGGCAGACUAGAGUGCGGUAGGGGAGACUGGAAUUCCUGGUGUAGCGGUGGAAUGCGCAGAUAUCAGGAGGAACACCGAUGGCGAAGGCAGGUCUCUGGGCCGCAACUGACGCUGAGGAGCGAAAGCAUGGGGAGCGAACAGGAUUAGAUACCCUGGUAGU